ensembl:miRNA
GGCUCAGUAGCCAGUGUAGAUCCUGUCUUUUGUAAUCAGUAGCUACAUCUGGCUACUGGGUCUC